rnacentral:lncRNA from 1 species
UUAGCUUGAAGAGUAACUCUAUUUCCUUCCUGCUUUCGUUGCUUCAUACUAGGUCCAAUAGGGGUGUCAUUCUGUGUGCUAUGGCUUCUUUCGCUCCCCAUGUUGGAGAGAGAUGUUUGGCCAAAAGAAAGUGUACGAGUGGUGGAAACCAGCUUGACAAAGCUGAAGAGAGUGGGAAUAAGUGUCGAUUUCCCACAGACGACGCCAAAUGUUGAUGCACAAAAUCAGCGAGGACUUUGGUACAAUAGAAAGUGUCAGGUUUGUGACCUUCGCUUGGUUGCUU